rnacentral:rRNA from 1 species
GAUGAACGCUGGCGGCGUGCCUAAUACAUGCAAGUCGAGCGAACGGACGAUAAGCUUGCUUCUCUGAUGUUAGCGGAAGACGGGUGAGUAACACGUGUAUCACCUACCUAUAAGACUGGGAUAACUUCGGGACACCGGAUCUAAUACCGUAUAAUAUUUUGCACCGCAUGGUUCAAAAGUGAAAGACGGUCUUGCGGUCACUUAUAGAUGGAUCUGGGCUGCAUUAGAUGGUUGUUAAGUUAACGGCUUACCAAGGCAACGAUGCAUAGACGAACUGUGAGAGUGGUAGGCCACACUGGAAGGGAGACGCGCUCCAUAGUCCUGCGGUAGGGAGCAGUAGGGAAUCUUCCGCAAUGGGCGAGAGUAUGGCGGAGCAGGGCCGAGUGAGAUAUGACGAUCUUCGGAUCGUGAAACUCUGUUAUUGGUGGAAAACAGAUGUGUAAGUAACUGUGGAGAUAUUGACGGUAACUGGUCAGAAAGCCACGGCUAACUACGUG